UCUUUUUCCAUUAAACAUGCAAACCAAGACACGACACUUCUUGAUAGAAGUGUGCCUAUGAUUCAACUUGAGUAAAUCCAUUGGGAUAUUGGAAAAGAUGCUACUUUAAAUAGAGCUUGAUUUGUUGCAAAAAUCUUUGAAAUAUUGAUCUUGUUCCAUCAAACUUCUUAGGCAUACUAAUCCUUGUCUCCAUCAUACUUGUAGAAGUAAAAUUCCCUGGAUUUGGUUGUGAGGUCGAUUUACUUGCUUCUUUCAAUUACACAACUUC
rnacentral:lncRNA from 1 species